rnacentral:pre_miRNA from 1 species
UCUUAUGGAUGAGCAAAGAAAGUGGUUUCUUGAGAUGAAAUCUACUUCCAGUGACGAUGUUGUGAA